rnacentral:rRNA from 1 species
AGAGUUUGAUCCUGGCUCAGGAUGAACGCUGGCGGCGUGCCUAAUACAUGCAAGUCGAACGCUUCACAUAUGUGAAGAGUGGCGAACGGGUGAGUAAUACAUAAGUAACCUGGCCUUUACAGGGGGAUAACUGUUGGAAACGAUAGCUAAGACCGCAUAGGUGUCAUAACCGCAUGGAGAUGAUAUGAAAUAUGCUACGGCAUAGGUAGAGGAUGGACUUAUGGCGCAUUAGCUAGUUGGAGGGGUAACGGCCCACCAAGGCGACGAUGCGUAGCCGACCUGAGAGGGUGACCGGCCACACUGGGACUGAGACACGGCCCAGACUCCUACGGGAGGCAGCAGUAGGGAAUUUUCGGCAAUGGGGGAAACCCUGACCGAGCAACGCCGCGUGAAGGAAGAAGUAAUUCGUUAUGUAAACUUCUGUCAUAGAGGAAGAACGGUGCGUGUAGGGAAUGACAUGCAAGUGACGGUACUCUAUAAGAAAGCCACGGCUAACUACGUGCCAGCAGCCGCGGUAAUACGUAGGUGGCGAGCGUUAUCCGGAAUUAUUGGGCGUAAAGAGGGAGCAGGCGGCACUAAGGGUCUGUGGUGAAAGAUCGAAGCUUAACUUCGGUAAGCCAUGGAAACCGUAGAGCUAGAGUGUGUGAGAGGAUCGUGGAAUUCCAUGUGUAGCGGUGAAAUGCGUAGAUAUAUGGAGGAACACCAGUGGCGAAGGCGACGAUCUGGCGCAUAACUGACGCUCAGUCCCGAAAGCGUGGGGAGCAAAUAGGAUUAGAUACCCUAGUAGUCCACGCCGUAAACGAUGAGUACUAAGUGUUGGGAGUCAAAUCUCAGUGCUGCAGUUAACGCAAUAAGUACUCCGCCUGAGUAGUACGUUCGCAAGAAUGAAACUCAAAGGAAUUGACGGGGGCCCGCACAAGCGGUGGAGCAUGUGGUUUAA